rnacentral:rRNA from 1 species
UACGGGGGGGGCAAGCGUUGUUCGGAAUUACUGGGCGUAAAGGGCUCGUAGGUGGCCAACUAAGUCAGACGUGAAAUCCCUCGGCUUAACCGGGGAACUGCGUCUGAUACUGGAUGGCUAGAGUUUGGGAGAGGGAUGCGGAAUUCCAGGUGUAGCGGUGAAAUGCGUAGAUAUCGGGAGGAACACCAGUGGCGAAGGCGACUUCCUGGCCUGUUCUUGACGCUGAGGCGCGAAAGCUAGGGUAGCAAACGGG